rnacentral:rRNA from 1 species
CAGGGAUUGCCCCAGUAACGGCGAGUGAAGCGGCAGGAGCUCAAAUUUGAAAUCUGGGGUCGCCGACCUCCGAGUUGUAAUUUGGAGAGGCAUCUUCGGGGUGGAGCGCCGGCCCCAUGUUCCUUGGAACAGGACGUCGCAGAGGGUGAGAAUCCCGUGCCAGGCCGGCCGCCUCCGCCCCAUCGAGGGGCCUUCGACGAGUCGAGUUGUUUGGGAAUGCAGCUCCAAGUGGGUGGUAAAUUUCAUCUAAAGCUAAAUACCGGCGGGAGACCGAUAGCGCACAAGUAGAGUGAUCGAAAGAUGAAAAGCACUUUGAAAAUAGAGUCAAAAAGUACGUGAAAUUGUUGAAAGGGAAGCGCUUGAGACCAGACCCAGACCCGGGCAAACACCGCGCCCCUCGGGGCCGUGCAAUUGCCCGUGGCUGGGCCAGCAUCAGUCGGCCCGGCGGGACAAAUGCGAGGGGAAUGUGUCUCCCCUCGGGGAGUGUUUAUUAGCCCCUCGCCCAAUGCCGCCCGAGCCGACUGUGGACCGCGCCUCGGCUAGGAUGCUGGCUUAAUGGCCUUCAGCGACCCGUCUUGAAACACGGACCAAGGAGUCUAACAUCUAUGCGAGUGUUUGGGCUUCAAACCCUUGCGCGGAAUGAAAGUGAGCGGAGGUGGGAACCCCCCCGCGGGGCGCACCAUCGACCGAUCCUGAUGUCCUCGGAUGGAUUUGAGUAGGAG